rnacentral:rRNA from 1 species
UACAGAGGUCCCGAGCGUUGUUCGGAUUUAUUGGGCGUAAAGGGUGCGUAGGUGGCAAAGUAAGUUGGAUGUGAAAUCCUGGGGCUCAACCCCAGAAUUGCAUUCAAUACUGCUUAGCUAGAGAGCUGUAGAGGAGACUGGAAUUUACGGUGUAGCAGUGAAAUGCGUAGAUAUCGUAAGGAACGCCAGUGGCGAAAGCGAGUCUCUGGGCAGCAUCUGACACUGAGGCACGAAGGCCAGGGGAGCAAACGGG